rnacentral:tRNA from 1 species
GGCAGGAUAGUUUAAGUUUAAAAAAUUUCUAUUUUACACGUAGGGUCAGUACAUUUGUUUGGUUUUGCUGCUA